GCCGGGGUAGCUCAGGGGUAGAGCAGAGGACUGAAAAUCCUUGUGUCGAUGGUUCAAAUCCGUCUCUCGGCACCA
rnacentral:tRNA from 1 species